rnacentral:rRNA from 1 species
UACGAAAGGUGCAAGCGUUAAUCGGAAUUACUGGGCGUAAAGCGCGCGUAGGCGGUGUGUUAAGUCGGAUGUGAAAGCCCAGGGCUCAACCUUGGAACUGCAUCCGAUACUGGCACGCUAGAGUGCAGUAGAGGGAGGUGGAAUUUCCGGUGUAGCGGUGAAAUGCGUAGAGAUCGGAAGGAACAUCAGUGGCGAAGGCGGCCAUCUGGGACAACACUGACGCUGAAGCACGAAAGCGUGGGGAGCAAACAGG